rnacentral:rRNA from 1 species
CGGUUGACUGAGCGGCGGACGGGUGAGUAACGCGUGGGUAACCUGCCUCAUACAGGGGGAUAACAGUUGGAAACGGCUGCUAAUACCGCAUAAGCGCACAGUACCGCAUGGUACGGUGUGAAAAACUCCGGUGGUAUGAGAUGGACCCGCGUCUGAUUAGGCAGUUGGCGGGGUAACGGCCCACCAAACCGACGAUGGAUAGGGGUUCUGAGAGGAAGGUCCCCCACAUUGGUACUGAGACACGGACCAA